UGUGUCUCUCUCAGGAGCAAAGAAUUUGUCCCAGAAGCUCCCAUGGCCUUCUCCUUGUCUGUUUGGUCCCCUUGAGUCAAUCAUUGAGAAAGAGGAUGGGCGUACAAUGAAAGUGUUAGCCAAGUCAGGUUUGCCCCUGAGCUGUUAAAGGAUCCAGAUCCCACAGGAGUGGAUACUCCAGUGACGUGGAAAUGGCAGUGCAGCAAGAGUCAAAUGUGUCUCAUAGAGACUAAGAUGUCUUCACCAGCCACCUCCCCUUCAGCAAUGACUCUGAUCACGUUUCUAUAGUGUCAUCCUUCUCUCCCUGGCCUGUGCUUUGAAGGCAGCAGGUGUCAGAUGUAGUCACUUCUGAAGUUCAUCAUCCAAGUGGGCAUCUUUGACCUGCUCUACUGGACUGACUGCAAAAAUGCCUCAUCCCCUGCUUGGUCCAUAGUGAUGCCAGCCUGUGGUUAUUGGAACCUGGUCUGCCAGACCAAAUGGAGGAAGUCUGCCAGGCAGAUGUGGAACCCAAAAGAGGAACUUCACCAACUGCUGUGGACAGCUCUAGCGCUUCAUGCCCCCGUGGACUUUUGGGGAAGUAUUUUUGUGGCUCACCAGUCUCUCAUUAGGCAAAGGUCACAUGUCCUGUCUUGGCCUUCUCUACUGGUGGAAAGUACGGCUGGGAGAUUUGGAAUGGUUGCUGUUUGACUUUGAUUCUUGGCACGACUGUCACCAUGAGCUUUUUUGGAUUGCUUCAUGGUCACAAGAUGGCUGUUGGAGAUCCAGUCUUCGUGUCUCAAACAGGAAGAAGGAGAAAGGGCCAAAUGCAAAUGGUACAUAAUAGCAGAGUAUAUACCCUCUUUGAAUGAUUUCCUGGAAGCCCCACACCAAG
rnacentral:lncRNA from 1 species